rnacentral:lncRNA from 1 species
UCUUGUUGUGGUUACUUUUAUCCUUAGUAUAUAUCACACCAAGAUACACAAAUUACUGGGUUUUAAAAAAACUUAAAACAGUCUGCUUAGCUCAGUGGGGAUGGGGGCACUUCUCAGGGCACUUAGGGUCUCAGAGCCACUUCUCUCAGGCUUGAGGCCUGACGUUCAAUGUGAAAAGCAAUAAAAAGAAAAAAAAGACAAAUAAAUAAAUAAAUAGCUCUGAAUGGUUUCUGAAUACAGCAGUUAGGUUCAUUUUUCAUUUUAUUCUGAUUUUUAGAAAAUUCAUUUUAAAACUCAAAAGCAAAAUAAAUUAAGAGAACGUGAAAUUGUAAAUAAGAACAUCAAUAUAACACACUGUAAAUGUAUACACUUGGUGUCUCUUUUCUUAGCUUUUUUAAAAGAUGUAAUAUUAUAUAAUGUAAUUAUAAUGAUAUUCUGUUGUAUUUGUAACAUAUGAUGUAAUAUGUGUAACAACAAUAGCACAAAAACAGAAAGCAAAAAUACGGCUAUAUAGAAUAACAUUUCUAUAUCUCACUAAACAUAAGUAUAAUUCUGAAGUAGACUGUGAUACAUUAGUAUGUGUUUGGGAAGUCCUACAGCAACCACUAGUAGAAUAAAUGUUUAUAAUACAGUGAAAAAGAUGAGAUAAAUUAAAAAAUCACACUAAAAAUUAUUCAUUUUUCUAUAAAAGACAGCUGAAAAGAAAGAAUAAAAAUGCAUAAUAUAGAAAACAGAUGUGAAAUGGUAGACAUAAAUCCAACUAUAAUAAUAGUAUUAAAUAUGAAUGAAUUAAUCCAAUCAAAAAGCAUAGAUUACCAGGCUCGAUUUAAAAAAUAAAUUGUAGCUAUGUUCUGUCUGCAGGAGAUACACUUUAGAUUCAGAUACAAUUAGAUUGAAAGUAAAAGAGUGACAAAAGAUACAUCAUGCAAAAAGCAACUAUGAGAAAGCUAAAGUGGCUAUAGUAAUAUCAGACAAAGUAGACUUUACAACAAAAAUGUUAUUAGAGAAUAAGAAAUGUUUUAUAAUGAUAAAAGGAAUAAUCCAUCAGGAAGAUAAAACAUUUACAAAGAUAUAUGAACUUAACAACUGAGCCAUAAAACACGUCAAAUAAAAACUAAUAAAAAUGAAAAAGGAAAUAGACAAUUGGACAAUAAUUGGAGACUCCAAUACCCCACUUUCAAUAAUGACCCCAUUACCCUACUUGCAAUUAAAAAAACAACACUAGGCAGAAUAUCAAAAAGUAAACAGAAGAUGUGAACAACACUACAAAUCGCCUGAAUCUAACAGAAAUCUAUAGAACACUCUACCCUACAGUAGCAGAAUACACGUUUUUCUCAAGUGCUCAUGGAACACACUCUAGAAUAAAGUAUAUGCUAGACCACAAAACAAGCCUUAAUAAAUAUACAGGUAUUGGAAUUAAAUAAAUUUUGUUUUCC